AGGAAUGAAUCAGAUGAAUCAGCUAAGGUCAACACAGACAGUAGCAGUUCAGGAGAAAGAUUUUUCACAUCUGGUUUGCCACAGCAGAAAACUUUCUUUUUCAUAAAUGAGAAUGAAUGGAAGGAGUUACGGCAACAUCAGUCAGGAAGACUAUUUAAAGGACUGCAGUGGACAAAUAUAAUUGCUAGUGGAAUCAGAACCCUUAAUCCGUACUGCAGUUUUGGAUUUUGGAGACACAGUGUGAAAAAACUCUCUUCAAGAUCAAAAGCACCGGUUUUCAGGUGUAUGGGGUAUUGCAGAUUUCAGGACUGCCCUGUCACUGUGGAUGUGGUGGUUUAUGACGAAGAGACACUGAAAGCAGAAGUCGUUUUUACAGGAGGUGAGGUCUGGCAUAAUAACAAAGAGCUGAAAAGGCGGCCUGUGCGUGCACAAUCACGUCAAAGUGCUGGAGAACUCCUCAAAAACAAAUUACCAAGGAGCUUGUACUUGGAGUCUUUACAGAAAGUGCCACAAAAGGUGAUCCAAUCUGGCAACAGGGAUGAUGCUCCAACAAAAGAAGUCUUGAAAAACAUUGCACGGUCUGAAAGAAAAGCCAGUAGAGCAGAUCCCAAUGAGUUGAUGAGCUUACAAAAGAUAAUUCAACAGUAUCAGGACACUGAAAAGGAUGUACUGCAGAAGAUUCUGAUGCAUCCAAAGGGCAUAAUGCUAUGGUCUAAGAAAACCUUGUCAGUUUUUCAUCAAAGAUGCAACGAAGACAUUGUGUACUUUGAUGCCACUGGAAGUAUAAUAAGAAAAGAAAGUGCUGGAAGGCCACCAUACUAUGUGUAUGAGUUGGUUGUCAGAAACCCAUCCAAAGGUGCUUCUCCUCUUCCAGUUGCUACAUAUGUCACAUGUGACCACACUACAGCCUCUGUGACAUACUUCUUGGAGGCCUUUCAGACUGAUCUGGUAAGAGCAUUUGGUAAUCGGGCCUACAACAGGCCUGUCAUGUUCAUGUGUGAUGGAUCCCUAGUACUCCUUCGAUCCAUUUCCAUGACAUUCUGCAGAACAAGUCUAGAGGAUCUGUUGCAGAAGUACUAUGUCUUCCUCACUGGCCAGCAUUCAGCACAGGAAUUCAACAUUCCCAUUCUUCAUCGAUGUUUGAGCCAUGUCAUGAAAAAUGCCAAGGACCUUUGUAAAAAACACAUUCCAGAGAAAUACCGGCUUGGAAUGCAUGUGUUUGGGCUCCUUGCAUGCUGUGAUAACUUAAAAGACAUGGAUGAUGUUGUCCAUAGUGCAGCAAUAGUGUUUUGCAGUCCUUGUAGUGGAAGGAACGUAACAAAACACUACAACAACUUGAAAAUCCUUAUGCAAAAAAGGGGGACCCUGGAUUUGGAUGAAAAGACUGUGAUUGCUGAGGACUACAAGACUGAUGUUCAGAAUGCCCCCUUGAAGACCCAUUUCCAGGCAAUUGUUGACAAUGCAACACUGGACUGUGAGGGCGAAAGAAACAUCUUUCAUGCACCCAAAUUUAUUGCCGGUCUGGUAAAUCACCUUCUACCACAUGCAACUUUGUGGUCAUCAAUGAUGCUCGGGGAUCUUGGACAUCAUGGUACUGGUCCUGCUUACCAGCAGCUCAGUAAACUCUAUAGUGACAUUCAGCAAUCCAAGAACCAGAAUUUUACACAAGACAACAGAACCCAAGGAAUCAUGGAGAAAAGCCAGUGGGAUUUGAAAAAAAUCCGUAUCCAGAGAAGGAGACUGACAAGGCUUGAUGAUUUUGUGGAAAUUUAUCAAAAAAUGCAUGAUGCCCUCCUGCUUGAAUAUGCAGACAUGAAAAAAUCAAGACAAAAGUCUUUUCACGUGGAAAUGGAGAAAUGGAAAGACAAACACAUUAAACGGAAAGGUGUGUAGGUGUCACCGUUAGUGACAGAACUGCCACUGAAGAAAAAGAAAACUGAG
rnacentral:lncRNA from 1 species